AGAGUUUGAUCCUGGCUCAGAUUGAACGCUGGCGGCACGCCUAACACAUGCAAGUCGAGCGGUAACAGGUUUAGUAGCAAUACUAGACGCUGACGAGCGGCGGACGGGUGAGGAACACGUAGGAAUCUGCCUCUAAGAGGGGGACAACCAAGGGAAACUUUGGCUAAUACCGCAUAACCUCGAGAGAGCAAAGCUGCCGC
rnacentral:rRNA from 1 species